rnacentral:rRNA from 1 species
UACGUAGGGGGCAAGCGUUGUCCGGAUUCAUUGGGCGUAAAGAGCGUGUAGGCGGCCAGGUAGGUCGGUUGUGAAAACUGGAGGCUCAACCUUCAGACGUCGACCGAAACCAUCUGGCUAGAGUCCGGGAGAGGAGAGUGGAAUUCCUGGUGUAGCGGUGAAAUGCGUAGAGAUCCGGAGGAACCCCAGAGGCGAAGGCGGCAGCCUGGUUGGCUCCUGACGCUCGGACACGACAGCAUGGGGAGCGAACGGG